UUCGCAUUCCAAAGAAGAGGUGAAGCACAGCAGCUGCUGUUUGAUUCCGGCAUUCGGAUCCGUGGCACUUACUGAUGACUAUGGCCUUUUCUAAACUUAUUAUUGUUUCAUUGUUCUGUGCCACGCUCAUCCUUCCCGAUGCAAAAGCAUGGUGGAGGAUCCCGAUCAAUAUCGAAAAAUCUAGAAACACAGCCCAACACCGUACCACGUCGAAGUUCAUCCCAGAAACAGAGCGAAUCCUCCGAGAUGUCUCCAAUGAAAAGAACUACGACAAACUCAAAGUUCUCCUACAGAAUCUUCCGAAGAGAGGAUUGACUUUCUUGACCCAUAGGGAUGACAAUGGAUUCAUGGGUCGCGUCGCCAAGGGAAGAAUCAGCAAAUUGAGGAAAAUGGAGAGUGGUAGACCUAGAGGACAUCCAUUGAGAUGGGGUUGAUUCAGUGGUCGGGUGAAAUUUAUUUCAAGUUUGUUCUUCCAUGUUGAUGUGCAAUGGUUGUAAUUUAUGAGUUACCAUCAUGAGUAAAUAGCUCGAAAUUUGAAAUUUGCUACUUUGACAAUGACAAAUAUUAAAUGUACAGACAAUAAAAAUGUACUGAACUUU